AUUAGUAAGUUACUAUUUUAUAUAGAAGUAGUUAGUAUGUGUUAUACUUUGUUUGCAACAAUUUUAUAAUUGAAAGUGGUAUGACUAAUUUGAUAUUUGGAGUCGGUAUAGGAUUGUUCCUUAUUUUAGUUCUUUGGGCUUUAGCUCUAUUGAUAUUUAUUAUUUCUUUAAGAAUUGAAAAAAAAAUUGGUAUUUUUGCUAUACUUAUAGUUAGUAUAUGCACAAUUAUUUUAAUUACAUUGCCAAGAGCAUCAGAAAAACCUAUUAUAAAUAA